AUCACCGAUUAAAUGAGGUGAUGGGCUCUUUAAGAGCUAGUAGCAGCAGUGAGCCAAGCCCCGCCUAUCUGCUACUCGUGGAGCGAGUGAGAUGAGGCAGCUACACGGAGUGAUCUUCAAAACCCCUCCAUGAGCUGAUGCCAGAGUAAGAAGCGGAUGAGACGGAGGCUUGUGAAACAGAUCGAUGCAGAUACACGGAACAUCAAUGUGCCACAAAUGAACUUCCUUGUUAAAUAUAUAAAUUCAUCGCCUUGGCUGUUUUUUUUUUGUGAGAUUCAAGUUCUUCUGUGAUGAUUUCCCUGAUUCGUGCUGGACGCACAAGGUGCAGAUUGUAUAUGGCGAGCCACCCACGGAAUCGUUUUCUCUGUUGAACUGUGUUUUUGAGCCAUCAAACUGGUAGGAGAAUUCUUUCUUUCACUUUUUGACAAC